AUGAACGCUGACAGAAUGCUUAACACAUGCAAGUCAACUUGAAUUUGGGUUUUUAACUUAGGUUUGGGUGGCGGACGGGUGAGUAACGCGUAAAGAACUUGCCUCACAGCUAGGGACAACAUUUGGAAACGAAUGCUAAUACCUAAUAUUAUGAUAAUAGGGCAUCCUAUAAUUAUGAAAGCUAUAAGCGCUGUGAGAGAGCUUUGCGUCCCAUUAGCUAGUUGGAGAGGUAACGGCUCACCAAGGCGAUGAUGGGUAGCCGGCCUGAGAGGGUGAUCGGCCACAAGGGGACUGAGACACGGCCCUUACUCCUACGGGAGGCAGCAGUGGGGAAUAUUGGACAAUGGACCAAGAGUCUGAUCCAGCAAUUCUGUGUGCACGAUGAAGUUUUUCGGAAUGUAAAGUGCUUUCAGUUGGGAAGAAAGAAAUGACGGUACCAACAGAAGAAGUGACGGCUAAAUACGU
rnacentral:rRNA from 1 species